GUUUCAUUGGUAGUCGAAACAUUUCGACGUUAAGUCGUGCUCCGGACUCUGGGACUCGUUAGUGAUUGGCCCUUCACGAACCGCGAAACACGAGAGAGCUUGUUACUUAGUUCGUGCGUUAAUUGGCCGGAGACUUUGCAAGUGCCAAGCGGCAGAGGAAAAGCAGUCCUCCUGUCUUCGAUUUGGGGUGGGGGAGCAAAGAGAGCGAACAUCUGGGAAAGUUCCGAUUGGCGAAGGCAGAGGGCAGGGCCGAGGAGCUUUUGGCGGGUCUCCGGCGCCGCGCCACGGGUCUGUCUCCGCAGGGCGCUGAUUGGACCUGCGGGUUGCUCACAUCACCGUAGAAGGCGGGGCCCUCUCCAAUAAAUCCUAAAAGCCGGCGCUGAGGCUGCAGUAACUUUAGUUGCAGUUUACGCUUGCUUUUCUGUGAAGAGGUGGAGACCGUGAGUCGAGUCCCGCAGAGCACGUCGUCGCAGUCGCCGCGUCUCGCGCAGGCUGCCUUCGCUGCCGCCCCCGAGGAGACGGACCCUUCCACGCCCUCUCCACCAGAGAGAUGUCUGCUCCAGCACAGCCACCAACACCAGGGGCCCCAGAAGGGGGUGCUCCUGGGGGGGGCCAGCCUACCAACACAACUAGUAACAGGCGAAUGCAACAAACACAGGCAGAAGUGGAGGAGGUGGUAGAUAUCAUACGAGUGAAUGUGGACAAGGUCCUGGAAAGGGAUCAGAGGCUGUCUGAAUUGGAUGACCGCGCAGAUGCCUUACAGGCAGGAGCAUCACAGUUUGAGAGCAGUGCUGCCAAGCUAAAGAGGAAGUACUGGUGGAAAAAUUGUAAGAUGAUGAUCAUGCUGGGAGCCAUUUGUGCCAUCAUCGUGGUAAUUAUUGUAAUCUAUUUUUUUACUUAAUGUACCACCCCUCCUUCAUUCCCCACACCAUCAGAACUCAUGCCCCUUUCCCAUUGUCAUUUCCCCAGCAGACCUAGGCCAUCUACCUUGUCCUUACCCAAGCUCCUUCAUCUCCUCUUUAGUUGCUUUGUUUGUACCUAGCCCUCCUGCACUGGACACGCUGCUCAUGGGGUGGCUGCAUUCUUACUCCAGGAAGCACGAGUAACCAGGGUUUGGCCUCUCCCCUUCAGAAAACACCCGUGCCCCAGCCCAGGAAGUAGAAUGGAGGUCAGAGCAGAAGCAGGUCAGCCAGAACAAGUUCAGGGGAAGCUGCCUGAGUGGGAGCCGGGACCGCAGGGCCGAGGCAGUCUGGAGUGAGGCUUGGGGAGAGCAUAGGGAAAAGGCAGUUUCCUCCCCUUACCUCCUACUGCAGCUUCUCAAUAGGGUCUGCAGUGUUAACAGAAUGGGAGAAGCUUGACCUCAAUAACGACCAUCCUGGGCCAUCAGAAAUCGCAGUGGUGAUUUUGAUCAAACAGCAGAAUAAUUUUAUUGCAAAAGAUAUUUUGGAGUCUGGAGCAAUGAUAUGCGGGGUCUGAUCAUUAUUUUUAUAAUUAAGUACAGUACUCAAAAACCUAGAAGACCUUGAAUUGUGUCUACUCCCAGGGCAUUCCUGGUACCCAGUGUUUUUCAGAAGAUUUCCCUCUCUCCCCUGCCGCCACCGCUGCUGCUGCUGCUGCUGCUACUGCUUUCAGUCUGGCCCAGGAUCUGCCAGUGCUUCUGGUGCUGCCAUUCUGUUUACCACAGAAUUGGUGGGUUUGAACACUUUUCCUUUUGACUUAAAAACAUUUGGGGUACAAUUUUGCUCACUGUCUGCUCCUCAUUUAGAAUUGGUACCUAGAGGCUGAUAAGGUAUCAGGUCAGCUCUUAAUAGACAAGUCUAAUAGUGCGUGAGAGGGCGCAAAAAUAUCCUUUGCAGUUGAAAUUUGGGCCUGUUGGUUAUUCUUAGUCAUUAUAAAAAUAUUAGAGAAAAAACUGCCUUGGAAACUGAACUAAGUGUAAGGCAAGGUAAGGUAAGAGACCUUAUUCAAAAAUAAUGAAUCUAAAAUAAGCAUUUAUUAAGCACCUUCUCUGUGCCAGGCACUGUACUAAGCACUGGGAGUACAAAGGAAGGGUAAAAACAGUAUUUUCUUGAGGAGUUUUUUUUUCUUAUGGGGAAGAUCAUAAAUGAAUCCAUAUGGAACAGAUCAAUGAUAGUCUCAGAGAGAAGGCAAUGGAGUAGGUGUGGAAGGAGAGGGAGGAAUUGAGAAUAAGGAGGACCUCCUGAUAGUCACCAAGGUUUGGCUGGGAUGAGAUGGCCUUUUUAUAGUAGAUGGUUUUUUUUCUCCUUUCCCUUGAUAGCAAGAAGGUGGAAGUUUGGGAAUGGGAGGUACCUGAUAUCCCAGGAAAGUCCUUUUUCAGCUCUGCCCUGUUGUUAUACCAAAGACAGAGACGUGGUAAUAGUCCCAGUCUGGAACCAGACUAUAAGACUUUUCAGGGAAGUCCAGUGUAGACACUAGACCCGUAUCUUCCUGUUGUGGGUGACAGCUGUGUGGCUGUGCUGACAGAGUCAUCACUUUGCCACCUCCCUACUAUUUAGUACCCCUUCUCUCCAGGUCCAUCUUCUACUUGCCCCUUCAUGCCAAUUUAAACUCUUUCCUUCUGUAGUGCUUGGGUUUAUUGGCCUAGGCAGAGGGAUCAUAACUGUGUCCAGUUUUCUGACAGUAUCCUAGGAAUAUCCUUCUAGCUUUAAGACAGGAUGCCAAAUGAGACUCCUGGGCAGAUACAACAGUGACCUCUUCUCUCACCUUUAUAUAUAGUCAAGCAAAGGGAGUGUAGGGCUUGGGGUUGCAUGUUCACCUUCCAUGCACUACCAUUUUAUUUGCCAAAAACACCCCCUUCCCCAACCCCUACCUACUUCCAUAUUCCCUUGUCCUGCCCUGUGGUGGGACUGAAGAGCUGGAAGGAAGCAAUCAGUGUACCUCUCCCAACCUCUCCCCCAAGAAGGUCUCCACUAUCUCUGGGCGCCUUCCUCUCUUGGGGGGACACCGCUGGAGAAGAACCACCACUGUCCUCGCUGCCUCUAGAGCCAGGAACAAACCAGCCCCUGGGCUCACUAAGCCCCAGCCUCUUCAUCACUUUAAGCGCUUUGUCAAAGGAUUUUGCACUCUGGGUUUUUGUUGUGCCUAAGAGUUCCCUUCCAGUGACCAGAAUAGAUUCUCCAAACCUUGGAGUGGGAGUAAAAAAAGGAAGGGAUGUCUUCCCUCAAUUUUCCCACCCCAUGACCUGAUUCUGUCUCUUUGCUAUCAUCCCCAUGCAUGGGCAAAAAUGCUGUUGUACACCCAGGACUUUCCAGCCAAAUGAAGCAGAUUUCCCCAUGUUCCCCCAUCCCUUCCGGUUUGUCAUGAGCCGCUGUGGGGUUUUUCACUGUGUCUGUUUUCCCCUUUCUGUCUUUCUUUCCCUUCUUCCAAUCUCAUACUUGUGUAAAAUAAUAACAGUUGUAUUCCAAGUAAGGCAUGUAGCACAUUUACUAAUUUCGUGUAUUCUGGGAAAAAAAAAAUUCCUAUCACCAACCUGAUGGCAUCUGGGUGACUUGGCAUAAAUUGGGGGCGGGCUACCACUGGGGCAGAUUUCUCCAUAGGUUAAAGCACUGGUGCUUUUGUGCAGUUUGCUCUUCUGAUUGAGAUUAAAGAUACCCUUGUAUGUUGGCAAUGGAACUGGUCUCCAUUCUUGUGUUCUGCAUGCUUUGAUUUCUCAUUGCGAGCUGUGUAACUGUCCGUCCUGAAGCAGGUAGGUGGAAGCCAUCCUGAAGCCAGCUGAUGGAAGGAGUGACAGAAAACUGGCC
ensembl:lncRNA